GGGGGUUUAGCUCAGUGGCAUAAGCGCCUGCCUUGCAAGCAGGCGGUCGUGAGUUGAUCCCCA
rnacentral:tRNA from 1 species